GAAACCUGUUGUACACUAAAGCUGCCCACAGUUAUAUAGGAAGUUGUUCGGAACAGCCGGCGGUUUAUUCGCGUGAAAUCUGCACGGAGCCGAGGAAAACUCGAUUAUUAUCCAAAGCCUUUAUACAGAUAGGCGCCUCUGGUAUAGGAUAGAUAGCCUGAGAAAUAAACGCACAGGGCCCAACAGGGGAUUAUUGCCGGACACAUAGAAUAGAGAAACAAUACUAAACCCCCUUGGUGUUUUGAGUUUAGUUUUAGUUUGAAGAAAAUGUUUGUAUCGAUCAGGAUUGUUGUGUUGGCCUGCCUUGCAAUGCCAGUGACUUGCUUCGCAAGCUCAUUGGACAGUUGGAGCACGUGGUCAUCAUGCAGUGUGACGUGUGGUUCGGGGGUUGCCACUCGCCGUUGGAAAUGUUCAGGAAUAAACUGCGAGCAAAAAGUCGAAACCAAAGAAUGUUUUCCAGAAUUCUGUAAAUACUUGUACAUACCAACGAUAUACUGUUAUAUAUUGCAAACGUGCACGUUUUAUAAAGCUUCGAUGAAUAAGUAUAAGGUUUUUUAUCAACUCCUUCGCUUUUCCAACCCACUAAGCACACUGCUACAGUAAAUUCUGAAGCCUUUCCUUGGACAUGGUGAAACAUACAAUCGUUAUCUACUAACUAGCUCUCUAAAAAGUAUGGGCGACGGUAAGAGUUAAGAUUUUAGUAAAACACACGAUUAGAUUACAAAACCCGGUAAAAAUACCGCUGUAUAAGUUGCGCUAUUAUCUUUUAACACGAUGCUUUUUAUUUGAAUGAUCAAUACACUAUAUUUGGAUGGCGUAUUAGUAACUUGUAAGCGGACACAAGCUGUACGAAAUACAACACCCGUGUUAUAACGAAUGUCGUUGCCCCGGUACAUUAAUUCAUUUGUUUGCCUCUCAUUAUCAAAAAGAUGUUGUUUUUUUGCUACAGGCCCCUUCUCUUCGCUGAGGAUUCACUUUGGUUCUAAGCCAAUCAUUGACGUCAUUUUUCCUGUAUAAAACACGAGUGCAUACACCCUGAACCACACAUCAUACUGCAUGAUGAUCACGUGUUUAAACCCUGGCCAAUAAGAUUGCUGAAAAUAAAUGCANUGAAAGU